rnacentral:rRNA from 1 species
UACGUAGGUGGCAAGCGUUUGUCCGGAUUUAUUGGGUUUAAAGGGUGCGUAGGCGGUUUUCUAAGUCAGCAGUGAAAUACGGCAGCUCAACUGUCGAGGUGCUGUUGAUACUGGGGAACUUGAGUACUGAUGAGGUAGGCGGAAUGGACGGUGUAGCGGUGAAAUGCUUAGAGAUCGUCCAGAACACCGAUAGCGAAGGCAGCUUACUAAGGAGUAACUGACGCUGAGGCACGAAAAGUGUGGGGGAUCAAACAGG